rnacentral:rRNA from 1 species
UACGUAGGGUGCAAGCGUUGCCCGGAUUUAUUGGGCGUAAAGAGCUCGUAGGUGGUUCGGUAAGUCGGAUGUGAAAUCUCCAGGCUCAACUUGGAGCGGUCAUUCGAUACUGCCGUGACUAGAGGUCGGUAGGGGAGUGUGGAAUUCCUGGUGGAGCGGUGAAAUGCGCAGAUAUCAGGAGGAACACCCGUAGCGAAGGCGGCACUCUGGGCCGAUACUGACACUGAGGAGCGAAAGCGUGGGGAGCGAACAGG